CCCUUAGAUGUUCUGGGCCGCACGCGCGCUACACUGAUUCAUGCAACAAGUUUUGUCCUUGGCUGAUAGGCCUGGGUAAUCUUUGAACGUGAAUCGUGAUGGGGAUAGAUGAUUGCAAUUAUUCAUCUUCAACGAGGAAUUCCUAGUAAACGCAAGUCAUCAGCUUGCAUUGAUUACGUCCCUGCCCUUUGUACACACCGCCCGUCGCACCUACCGAUUGAAUGGUCCGGUGAAAUCUUCGGAUCUGAGAGAUGUCUGAUUAAUUUCGGACGCCUUUUGGAAAAGUUGCUUAAACCUUACCAUUUAGAGGAAGGUGGAGUCGUAACA
rnacentral:rRNA from 1 species